rnacentral:rRNA from 1 species
UACGUAGGGUGCGAGCGUUGUCCGGAAUUAUUGGGCGUAAAGAGCUCGUAGGCGGUGUGUCGCGUCGGCCGUGAAAACCUGCAGCUUAACUGUGGGCUUGCGGUCGAUACGGGCAUCACUGGAGUUCGGCAGGGGAGACUGGAAUUCCUGGUGUAGCGGUGAAAUGCGCAGAUAUCAGGAGGAACACCGGUGGCGAAGGCGGGUCUCUGGACAGUUCCUGACACUGAGGCACGAAGGCCAGGGGGAGCAAACGGG